AGAAACUCCGGCUACAGGCUGCGGCUUGUGGUGACCUCUGUCUGCCGCAGGGAGAAGCGCCCGCCCGGGAGGGAUGAUACUCCUCCUGACGUGUGAGCUCGACGACAAUAACCCCUCAGCCGCCACAGGGACAAUCCGCGGAUACCUUACCUUACUGUAGGACACAUUAAAGCAGCAGCAGCAGCACCUCGACUAUGCCUCUGGUUCGUCCCCCGCCGCGCCCCGCCCGCUCCCCGCCCGCCGUGUGUUAGCUUUAGCUCGGGCCGUCGUGUCUCCGCCGGUCGGGCAGCCAGCGCGGAUGUUUUUGGGCGGCGGUCGCCAAGACAACGGGCUCCGUUCAGCCGCGUGAGUGACGGCAUGCUGCCGGGACGAUGCUGACAUUCCUCCGGAUCCUUCUGACAGGCCUGUUGGGUGCUCUGUGGGAUGGAGUAGUUGCUUUCGGUGGGGUCAGACUAGUGAAUGGAGACAACAAGUGUUCUGGCAGAGUGGAAGUACUCCGCCACGAACACUGGGGGACUGUCUGCAACCACGGCUGGGACUUUCGGGAAGCCGAUGUAGUGUGUUUGGAGCUGGGUUGUGGCUUGGCUGAAUCCAGUCCUCACACUUCCGAAUUUGGUCGAGGGAAUGGAGAGAUUGCGCUGCACCACGUCCAGUGCUCAGGACAUGAAUCCAGUUUGACACGCUGUGCUGUCGUCCUCCAUAGUCCCUCCUAUUGCAACCAUGAGAAUGAUGCAGGCGUAAAAUGCUCAGGUACCCUGUUGACGCCCAGCUUGUCCCUGCUGUCACCUCACACUGUGUUCUCUCUCGGGGAGUCUGUCCGCUUUCGCUGCAGUGUUCUGCUGCGUCACCACCUCAGUGACUUCCACCUGUACAAGCAUGGAGUGGCCACGCCGCUGGUCACACAGAGGGCCGACCAGAACCAGAUCGGAGUGGACCUCACGUUGUCCGACAUAGAGACUUUCCACCAGGGCAGCUACAGCUGUCGCUACAGCAUAAAGGGCGGCUUCCCCUCUCAGCUGCUCAGUUCCCCUCCCAGCAAUCCCAUCAACAUCACUGUGGUGGAGCUCCUGACCCCCCAGCACUGGUACAACACGUCCUCUGAGGCCCCGGCUGGCUCCGUCAUCAAAGGACAGAGUUUCAACAUCACAUGCUCCACGCUGCAGCAGUACCCCGGUGGCUCCUUUCAGCUGCGCCUUAUCCGCUCCAAUGGCACGGUGCGCCAGUCGCUGCCUGCCCUCACCCAGUCUGUCACUUUCACCUUUCCCAACGCUCAGAGCUCCAACGAGGGAUACUAUUACUGCCUGUAUCGGGUCCAACUGGGAGGACGUACGUUUGUCUCCAGAGAAAGCCAGCCCCUGCCUAUAGCCAUCAGAGAUCCUGAUCCAGUACUGAGUCCCAUGGUGAUCAGCUGGCUUGUGUCUGGUCUGACGUUUGUCAUAGCUGUCAUCAUUAUAAUUACUGUUGCCAAGGUACUGUGUCACAAGGAGAGGAAGCCCUCUGAGCUGGAGCGGGAGACCAGAACUUGUGUGGACAACACUUAUGUUGCCUUAUCCAUUAACAGGCUAUGAUGGAAUAUACAGGCAACACGUACUUGAAAGGGGAUGGUGAUAGAUGGUGAUACUACCACCAGAAUCAAUCGUGUGUGGACAUUCCCGAGGGCUCCAACUGUGUCCAUGAAGCAUCCAGCUGGGGGGGGGGGGGGGAUGUGAAACCAAACUGCUCAGCCAGCAUCCACCACCUGCUGGUGACUGCUGGAACCAGCUCGGCCUGCUCUGGACGGGGCACAGUCUUCACUCAGCACUAACCAUGGACCUACCUAAGACUACACUGUAGUAUUUUCAUUCCAAACGUUGCUUUUUUUACUGCUGGAAAACACUAGGUACGAUUGAUUGACUGACUGGUUAGACGUAAGCCGACGGCUGCGGUGGACGGAUGGCUCAGCGUACUUGAACGAUCCUUCUCGUUAAAGCUAGACUCUAGAUUCACUCAGACGUGGCUACUGCCAUGAUUUCGCAUGUACAGAAUGGGCACUUGGAGUUAAACUGGGGACACUGUGACAUGAGUUCGUCAGGUCUCUGUGGAUCUACAGCGCAAGAAAAACAUUUUGUAUUUGUGAACAGGAAACACUAAUUCCAAGCCCACUUAGAUACAUACUUGCCCACAGAACAAUGAUUCUUUAAAGAUUAAAGAAUUUUUUUUGUAUUUUAAGUCUAACAUUACUAUGCAUCUUUUUUUCAUCAUUAAAUGUUCAUUAAUGCACUUAUGUUGUAAAUAGAAGCUGUAGUAGAUUAAAAUGCUGCUUUUGUUCCACGAGUUUGUGUGCAAGAUGUUAGACAAAUCUGUUACCGAAGGUAUGCGAUUUUGUAACCUCCACUCAGAUUACGCAACAAGACAAGGCUUUUAACACGACGCGGGAUGUUUCAUUUAUUUUUUAUACCCUCAGUUAUUUACCUUUUUAAAAUGUUAUUUUUUUCCCCCUGAAUAAAUUACUUGAAACUUGGAAAAAAGGUACAUAUAUAUAAGCUCUUUAUUAAAAUGAAAUCAAUAUAAACAAACCACAACAAACCUGAAUAUGUCUGGAUAAUGUAAUAUAAAAGUG